rnacentral:rRNA from 1 species
UAAGACAGAGGGGGCAAGCGUUGCUCGGAAUCACUGGGCGUAAAGGGCGCGUAGGCGGGAUGGUAAGUCGGUCGUGAAAUCCCUCGGCUCAACCGAGGAACGUCGGCCGAUACUACCGUUCUUGAGGGAUGCAGAGGAGACUGGAAUUCCCGGUGUAGCGGUGAAAUGUGUAGAGAUCGGGAGGAACACCGGUGGCGAAGGCGGGUCUCUGGGCAUCUCCUGACGCUGAGGCGCGAAAGCGUGGGGAGCAAACGGGAUUAGAUACCCCGGUAGUCCACGCUGUAAACGAU